rnacentral:lncRNA from 1 species
CAAACCACCCGGGGAACAGUGUCACCUCGCAGGGCCUGAGCCGCCACUGGGGAACCCUUGACAUAGCUGAGGAGUUUCAACAGAGGCUUGGCCAGGCCUCCGCUGUCCUGACUCUGCCCUGGUGUCCUAUAUUGGUCUAGAUGGAGCUUGGGACCACGGCUGCCAGGAAACGCUCAGCGGGGAGGCGGAGGGAAGGAAGGGCUCCUGCACCAGCAGCACAGAAAAGCAGCACCGAUGGUCCAGCCGGAGGGGCCUCAGCGAACACACGGUCCAGCUGCG